rnacentral:lncRNA from 1 species
GGAGCCACUCUCUCUCCUCAAAUUUAAGAGCUCCUAAAGAAUCCCUAUUUUAGAAAGUGGAUAGGGAGCGUGGUUGGAGUUACAUUUUUACGAUCCCUCCCUAAAAUUUGUCUAAAGAAGUGAUUUAAGGAGCCCAUUGUGAAUACUCUAAGUCCACUCUAUUAAGCAACAUUUUCAGUUGAAAAAAGAAAAAGCAAAAUCGAAAGAGGAGACCAAUGAACUACGGGUCCAAAUUCAGCGCAUAAUAAGAGGCAAAUAUUGCAACACUAACAAUCACUUUCCCAAUUGACCAAAAGAGAAAAAGAAAAAUGAAACAACAUUAUGCUUCCCCAAUGGAUCACUAAUUUGGGUCCAAGUGAUGUCUCAGGAAAGGAGGAAGAAAGCAAGCUAUGAGGAUCAUGCAAUGGAGCUCAUGGAAUAAAGUAAGCAUAGUGAAGUACAAAUAAUUUGGGUUACAAUACUGAUUUAGAAAAACUACAGAAACCAUAUCACAUAAAAAACUACAGAAACCAUAUCACAUAAUACCUAAACAUUGUUCUUUAAAAACUGUCUAUUACCGAUUUAUGCUCCUUGUCUAAAUAGGAGAGCUGCUGCGGCAGCUUCAUACAAACAUCAUUAGCUCAGGCCGGGUAUAUACGUUAUGAUCCUCAUCCUCCAGCAAAGGG